UGACAAACAAAGGAGCUCAGUUCUGGGGAGCGAAAACAAAGCAAUUUAAAUGGGGAAAUAGAAGCCUCGAAAGAUAAUGAAGGGAGGACCGACCGGACCGACCGGAUGGAGGACAGAAGUUGGUGUGUCUAAUUAAACGAAAUAAACAUGGUCUAAAUUUAAUUUCUCAGACUCUCUAGUGGCGGUGGCCAUGGAACCCGGAACAGAAGCUCUCGAACUUGGCAACUAAUAGAUACAAAGAUACUUGCUACAAUGACAUAAUACUGUAGAGUAUAUGGAUAUAUUACAUCCAUCUCCCGAUCCAUCAGAUAGACAUGUCACAUCACAUUUUGAAAUGUCAAAAAAAAAAUAUGCCAUUAAUCUAAAAUAAAUGACUCGUUAAUUUGUUUAUA